CAGUCGCCGCGGUAAUACAGAGGGUGCGAGCGUUAAUCGGAUUUACUGGGCGUAAAGCGUGCGUAGGCGGCUUCUUAAGUCGGAUGUGAAAUCCCUGAGCUUAACUUAGGAAUUGCAUUCGAUACUGGGAAGCUAGAGUAUGGGAGAGGAUGGUAGAAUUCCAGGUGUAGCGGUGAAAUGCGUAGAGAUCUGGAGUAAUACCGAUGGCGAAGGCAGCCAUCUGGCCUAAUACUGACGCUGAGGUACGAAAGCAUGGGGAGCAAACAGGAUUAGAUACCCGUGUAGUCCCUGUCUCUUAUAC
rnacentral:rRNA from 1 species